GACUUACUUCAGAUGGAUGUCCUCCCCCCCCCCCAUCCACCCCCCUAAAAGACUGGUGUAGUUGUAUUUAAUGCAGAUAACUUGCUGUACAAACUUUAAGCUUGUUAUCCAGUGUGACAGGGCAGUUAACAUCUUAGGUCGAUCUCUUUACAUUGUGCGGAGGUGUUGGUGUGCAGCCUUCAUCAGUUCUUGAUUUGAAUGAACUUCAUUCAACACUCGUCACAUGGUAUAUAUUUUUUUUUUACAAUCUAAAUAAAUAUAGACAAAGA